UUGGGGGAGGUGACUCCUCCUUCUCCAGCAGUCUCAACAGCCUCUGUAUUUGUUGACUUUAUACUAUGUACGAUGGAGAAGAAUUUUAGCCUGCAGUCUCAGGGCACAAAUACCUUCUGACUCUUUGUCCUUUCGAGCGGUGGGUUUUGACUGUUUUAAAUAAAAACAAACUGGAUUGUGAUUGCACACCAUGGUGGAUGUCUCGGGUAGCCGAGUACUCCUAGAAAGAUGAUAGGCAAUAAUGUGGUGUAGAAACCAGGCUGGAGUCUGGGAAGCAUUUCCUGGUUAGCUUUGGGGAUAGGGGCGGGAGAUGAUUUUGAUGGGUCAUGAGUUCCACCCAGUGCCUCUGAUCCACUGCAUCACACAUUCAUUUGAGUAUGUCUCUGCUUGGGGAUGUAGUUCGGUGGUAGAUCACCUGGCUAGCAUCUCACAAGGCCUGACAUCUCUUCACAAAGUAACGCUGAGCUUUGCAAGUCCCUUGGGCGGAUUUCUUUUCUUCCCGUUCUUCAAGAUGUAACACUCAGCUCUUCUGAACACUUUCUUCUAGUCACAUGACUCUCACACCUUGAUGUGCACACUCAUUACCAGAAGAACUUGUUGGAAGGCUCUGGGAGCGCCUCUUGGGGAAGUGGGGCAGGGCUCAUUAACUCACACUUCUAAAGAGCUCCAGGUUCCAGGGAGGACCAGCCUUCUGGAACCUUGCCCCUGCCCUUUCCAAGGGUGGAAUAAUCUUAAACUCUCUGUGCUGUCCACUCUACAAAAGUCCCUCUGGCAAACUGAUGGUUCACCCCAGCCCUGGUUGGACUGAAUGUGGUAUGAUGUGGGCUCAGGAUGAAGACAUUUGGGUUUCAAAGUUAAUAUUAACAGUUUGGGAUUACAAAAUUGGGUCCUACUAAUAAAAUGCCCCUGAUCACAUUAAUAUGUAGACUUUAUAUUUAUUAGAAAUUGUUUAGGUUUUUUGUUUUUGUUUUUGUUUUUUGUUUUUUGAGCAAGGAAAAGGUGAUCAUAAAUGAAUCCAUUUUCCUGGGCAGGAGUCUUUCAUAAUGGCUGGGGGAGGGAUGGCUUUUAGAUUUGUAUGUCCUAAGAAACAGUGAUAAAUGAAUACUUACUGCAACAGAAAAACACAAUCAUCACCUUCACACAUCCAUUAAAAAAAAAGACUUCAAAUGCAUAUCACAUAAUUGUUAAUAAUCAUUGUUUAUGAUGUUGGUCCUACUCUGAAUAAAAUGUCUCUGAGCUUAGUUUCAUUUUAGACACACAAUGUUUGUUUUUCUAUUUUGGAUACCUAAUGCACUUGUAGGAGUUUUUUUUUUUUAAUAUUUUUGCUAAUAGAAUAUAAACAAACCUAAUUAAAUCUGGAUUGGUAGCACUAAAAAUCUCUUUGGCUGUGUUCAGGCUGUGUAAACGUGUAUUAGGGGAGGAAUAGAGAGCAAAGGACAUCUGGGAGUACAAAGAUCCUGUCUUCCUAGGCUGUCACAGUGAACUGGUCAAAGGCUCUGAGCACCUGACUUUUGUGGGGGUGUUAGAAGAGAAUGGUGACCUUCCACUGGGUUAUACACAAACCAGAAAAUCUAGGUUGGCUUCUGAGAAUUGUGAAGACUCAUUUCAAGUCUGGAAUCCCGGUCCACAGUGGGUCCCCAUGGACUACACUUUAAUGUAGAGCAAGGGCAUUACGGAGUCUGAACUUUAUUUAUAGCUGAGGAUGUUCGUGAACCAGGAUCUUCCUAACUCUACCUCCCAAGUGCUGGGAUCACAGGCACGUGUCAACAUAACCUGGUUUAUUAUGUUGUUGUUCAUUGCAAGGUCUACAGGCAUGCCUGAAGCCUCCAAUGUUCCCUCGCUGCAGUUGACCGGAUGUGGUUCCCACUUCCGAGUUGUCCUCCAUACUUCAGGCCAAACCCCAGGGAGGGAUGGCCAGGAGACACUAAAGUUUGUUUAUGUGUCUAGACUGGAUGCCUCGUGGUCAUCAUGGUGCCACUGAUGUCACGGUCAUCAUUAUCACUGUCGUCAUCACGGCCCUCUUCCUCGUGAUGCUGUUGAGGAUUUUGGGGGGCCCGAGAGAUGGCUUAAAGGGUAAAGGCACAUGCUGCCAAGCCUGACAACCUGCAUUGGAUUCCUGGACCCAUGUGGCACAAGGACAGAGCCAUGUCUAACAAGUUGUCUUCUGGUCUCCUCAAGCAUGGUGGCAUCCCCACUACACCCAUAAGUCAAUAAUGUAAUAAAAUUUUAAAUAUUUUUUUUUGUGGACUUAAUGUUGUUGGU